GCCCUGUACAUCUCCAACCCCACGUAUGAGUCCACACCUGCCCCCACUGACCCCCACCUCCCAGCAGAUGAGAAGGAUGACGAGCAGCAGAUGGUUGCCAGUGGCUCUUAUGAUCUUCUGCAGGAUAGCUGAAGAGAUGUGGGAUCUCACUCAGACACUCUCCGUACAGCUCAGAGCCUGAACUGCUGUAGAGCAGCAGGACACUCAAGUGCUGCAGUACCUUAGCAGACCAUAAGAGGGCCGAAGAAAAAAAAGAAGGGCAUUGAAGGGCAGUUUCAUAAAGCUGAAUUGAAAUGAACUGGACAUUGACGACCCAGUAAAAUGGGAAGUACUUUUGUGAUUGUGUGUAAAACUGUUUAUGUCUCUGUGUGCAUGUGUUGUGUGGUUGAAUGUUUACAUGUUUGUUGGCCUUGAUUAUUCCUUUGGUAGAACAAGUUUAUGUUCAUGUUACCACUACAUGCACAAAUAAACAAACAAAAGCAUUU